GCGGUUGUAGCUCAGUCGGUUAGAGUACCGGCCUGUCACGCCGGGGGUCGCGGGUUCGAGCCCCGUCAACCGCGCCA
rnacentral:tRNA from 66 species